GCUGGGCAAAGUGGCGCUCAAGCUGAGACCUCACAGAUAGGAAGUGGUCAGCCAGGCAGAGAACAGGAAGAAGUCUGGGAUGCACUGGCAGCUGUGGCGGCAACAGCACCAACAGCAGCAGCCUCCUCUGCCACAGCCACCACCACAGCAGGAGUGAACUCACACCUGAGGUCCCACAAAGUGGUUGCUGGAGGACUCAGGAGAAGGCUGGUAAGAUCUGCACUGAGGAACCCGUGAGGACCCGAAGCGCAAGCCUGGCGAUAGCAUGGCCAUAGGGAUGAGAGGUGAAUGUGAGGGACAAGGACUCCAUGGGACACAAAUGCCAGGCAGCAGCCUAAAGUGGGGCUAACUUGCCUAUGAACUCUUAGCCUCAAGAAUGCUGGGUAAAUGUCUUAACCUCUGUGACUAUGAAAUGGGAGCCAACUAACUCCCUGUGGCAAGAGGUUCUGAGACCUGUACUGACAGACGGGAGGGCCAAAAGAAGCUGGGUGAGAAGGCCCAGGUGUUUGUUAGCUUAGGGUGGUCACACUAGGCUCCUCCCAGCCACCUAGCAACAACUUAUGUCAUCACUUGCCUCUGUAUGGGCAACUAAUAAACGACUGCUCUCAGGUCUUCAUGCAGGUCCCUCAACCAACUGGAGCCAGGGCUGUUCCUGAGCCUAAUGUCUACCUGCCAGCCUGUGGGUCCCUUGACUGGCCUCAGUGAGGAUGUGUCUAGUCCCAUAGCAAAUGAUGUAUGGGCUGAGGGGGUGGGGAGCCUGGGGGUGACACCCAGAGGAGGGGGUUCUAUUAGAUCUG
rnacentral:lncRNA from 1 species